GACGAACGCUGGCGGCGUGCUUAACACAUGCAAGUCGAACGGAAAGGCCCUGAGUUUGUGGGGUGCUCGAGUGGCGAACGGGUGAGUAACACGUGAGUAACCUGCCCUUGACUUUGGGAUAACUUCAGGUAACUGGGGCUAAUAUCGGAUAGGAGCUCCUGCUGCAUGGUGGGGGUUGGAAAGUUUCGGCGGUUGGGGAUGGACUCGCGGCUUAUCAGCUUGUUGGUGGGGUAGUGGCUUACCAAGGCUUUGACGGGUAGCCGGCCUGAGAGGGUGACCGGCCACAUUGGGACUGAGAUACGGACCAGACUCCUACGGGAGGCAGUAGUGGCGAAUAUUGCACAAUGGGCGGAAGUCUGAUGCAGCAACGCCGCGUGCGGGAUGACGGCCUUCGGGUUGUAAACCGCUUUCGCCUGUGACGAAGCGUGAGUGACGGUAAUGGGUAAAGAAGCACCGGCUAACUACGUG
rnacentral:rRNA from 1 species